UAUUAGAUAUAAACCAAUGCUGGCUUCGGUCAGGUUUUGUGGUGAUUCACAAUAACUAAGCGAAUCGUAUGGUCUUGUACCGACGAUGAAUCAUUCAAGUUUCUGCCCUAUCAGCUGUCGACGGUUGGGUAUUGGCCAACCGUGGCGUCAACGGGUAACGUAGGAUCAGGGUUCGAUAACGGAGAGGGAGCAUGAGAAACGGCUACCACAUCUAAGGAAGGCAGCAGGCGCGUAAAUUACCCAAUCCCAAUACGGGGAGGUAGUGACAAUAAAUAACAAUACGGGGCAUUUUCAUGUCUUGUAAUUGGAAUGAGUACAACAUAAAUCCCUUAACGAGGAUCAAUUGGAAGGCAAGUCUGGUGCCAGCAGCCGCGGUAAUUCCAGCUCCAAUAGCGUAUAUUAAAGUUGUUGCAGUUAAAAAGCUCGUAGUUGGAUUUCUGAUAUCUUUUUUCUUCCCUUCUUGUUUACAAUUGUAAAUGUUGGGUUUGAUUGGAUAUCUUCCUUUCCUGUUAAUUUGGUUUACAAGCAUUAACUUGUUUGUGGAUCAAAUGGGGAUCUUUUACUGUGAAAAAAUUA
rnacentral:rRNA from 1 species